CCUACGGGAGGCAGCAGUGGGGAAUAUUGCACAAUGGGGGAAACCCUGAUGCAGCGACGCCGCGUGAGUGAAGAAGUAAUUCGUUAUGUAAAGCUCUAUCAGCAGGGAAGAAAAUGACGGUACCUGAGUAAGAAGCCCCGGCUAACUACGUGCCAGCAGCCGCGGUAAUACGUAGGGGGCAAGCGUUCUCCGGAUUUACUGGGUGCAAAGGGAGCGUAGACGGCAGUGCAAGUCUGGUGUGAAAGGCGGUGGCUCAACCGGCGGGCGGCUCUGGAAACUGUACGGCUGGAGUGCAGAAGAGGUGAGUGGAAUUCCUAGUGUAGCGGUGAAAUGCGUAGAUAUAAGGAGGAACACCAGUGGCGAAGGCGGCUUUCUGGACUGUAACUGACGUUGAGGCUCGAAAGCGUGGGGAGCAAACAGGAUUAGAUACCCUGGUAGUC
rnacentral:rRNA from 1 species